CCUUGCUUUCUGCACAAGGAAGAUAUCAGGGUAAACAAUGCUAUUUGAUGGCAAUUUACUUCAAUCUGUGAAACGGAUCUUUCACGAUGUAAAUGGACAAGCGAAAAACUGACCUGCCUUCCAGAUCACCCUGUCCCCCCCUUCAGCCCUGGAAUGUGUAUUUAAAACAAAUUCUAAGCAUGUUAAACAGCCCAUCCCUAAUUCCAGAUGACCAAGCAAACCAUGAAAUGAAAGUCACACAGAUUAAACCUGGAACACUGUGGGAGGUCACCUCACAAGAAGUGACCAUCAGGAGGUCUGAAUCACUGAGUGCCUUUUGGAAGGCUGGCUAACACUGACAUUGAGCAAAUAGCUGAAAGAGGCCAUUUGAAGAGUUGAAUUCUGGAAAAGAUUUGAAAACUGGGCAUACCAACCCUGACCAGCUAAUUGCCAAUGAAGAAGAAUGAAUUACUCUGCAAUUAUAUUAAAGGUGAAAGAGGUCCCAGGGAACAAUUCUAACAAAAAAUGGACUGACAUGGGAUAAAAGCUUGAUUAGUGACAGCCAUGACUAUUAAGAUGUUGAGCUUGAGUUCAAAGGAAGGACAAGAGCAACUUUAUGUUUGACAAUCUUUAGACAAGGUCACCACCCUCCACCAAGUGUAUGCCAACUUAUUCAGGUAUGACAUUCCCUUUCAUACAUCCUUUCUUCACCCACCAAAGUUUAAAAAAUGCUAUCAGAUUUGUUUACCAUGACUUGUAGAGGAUUUAUCCUUAAGCUUUCGCAUCCAAGUCAUUAGUUCGGCCAUUGUCAAGUAACAGAUAAAUUGAUGACAGGGCAGCAUAGAUAGACUCAUUCUCCUGGAGUUGUAGGUGGCUAGUCACCUUAUGGAACUCAUUAAUCCCACAAGCGAUAGAGCUUGAAAAUAGAGAUAGAUUACAAGCAGGUUUUGACAAUUCUUGGAUGACAGAUCAUAAUGGGUUAUUAAGAAGAAAGAGGUCCAACAAUUAUCUAUUGAGCCUCUACUAGGGUUACCACAUAAAAUACAGCACACCAAAUUACAUUUGAGUUUUAGGUAAACAAUGAAUAAUAUUUUAGUAUAAGUAAGUCCCAUGAGUAUUUGAGCCAUUCUUAUACUUAAAAAGGUAUUGUUUAACUGAAAUUCAAAUGUAACCGAUCAUCCUGAUUUGUUUGUUCGUUUGGCUUGUUUAGCGGCUUGUUUUUGCUAAAUAUGGCAACCCUAGUCUCUAUUGGUGUAGAGUUUCAACUCACAUGAGGUUAGUUUCUUAGUUGGGAAGUGAGAAAAAAAUUGCCUGUCUUAAAAAUUAUCACAGGCAAGUCUCUUCAAUCACUCAAAGUCAAGUCUACUUGAUUUUAUACCAUUGUACAUCUCUCAAUAAUUCCAAACAGACCAUUUUCCCUUAGUGUUGAAAAGUUCUCCGUUGCAUACCAAAUGAAGUCUUUGGAUUAUAUUUAUGGGCCAUGCUGUAUAAAAAAUAGAUAUAUUACCUGUCUUUUAAAUUAAAGUUUAUGUUUAUCAAAAUAAUAUAGGUUUUGGUUUUAAAAAUGCCAAAUAGUACACUUACUGACAUGAUGAAAAUUGACAUUCCUCUGCCCAACCUCUCCGCAUACUUCAGACCAAUUCCCCAUAGGCAGCAAACACUCAACUCUUCUAGCUGUUUUCCUUAAUAUUUACUUCCAUAUUUACAAACAAAAACACUAUACUAUUGUUUCUUACCCAUUUUAGACAUUAGCUGCACAUUUUAUAUUACUUCUGAGCCAAUCGUAUACUAUGACCAUGACUUCUUCCUUGGACAAUCCUUCAUUUUUCCUGGAAUCAAUCAUUGCCUUGGAUCUUUUGGUUUGAUUGUUUGUUUUUUGCCUGAUUUUCUAAACACAAACUGUUAGUGUUUCCCGAAUGCUCCAACAGCUCUGCCACACCUAUGAAUAAUAUUUUCCAUUUACUCAAACAUAUCAGUUGCAAUUAUUCCCUUCCCCAGAGAUCUCCCUCCCCAGAGCUUUCUACCCACUUUGAUCCAUUCUGGACCCCCCUUGCUAGACCUGCUAUUCGACUAACAUUCUAGGUCUUUUCCUUUGCAAUUCUCCCUUGUGGAGUGACUUUUCCUGAAUUCCAUGCUUUCGCUGUUGCUAUUUACCCAAUUGUUUAAAGGAAUGUACCCUCCAGAAUCUUUCUAGGGAAGGCUGCCCUGAAAGUAAGUAUUUUGAGUCCUUGCAAGUAUGAUAAUGUCAUUUGUCUAUUCUUAGUUGAGGUGCGGAGUAGAAUUUUAGCUUGAAAAUAAGUUUCUCUCAGGAUCUUGUUGCUCCUCUGCUUCUCGUUUCCAGGGUUGCUGAGGGUGAGAAACCUGAUGCCGUCCUGACUCCCGAUACUUUAUAUGGGACGUAUUCUUUUUCCCUCUUGAAGCUUUUAGAACUCACCCUUCAAUCUUUGGGUUCUGAAACAUCAAGAUGAUGUGUUUUUAUGUGGGUCUGAUCUCAUCCAUAGGGCUGGGGUCUUGUAUUCGUUUCCUGGGGCUGCUGUAACUAAAUACCAAAAGCUGAGUGGCUUAAAGCAACAGAAAUUUAAUCUCUCACAGUUCCGGAAGCUAGAAGUCUGAAAUCAAGGUGUCAACAGCUUGGUUCCUUCUGGAUGCUCUGAGGGAUAAUUAGUUCCAUGCCUCUCUUCUGGCUUCUGGUGGUCUCUAGAAAUCCUUGCAUUCCUUGGCUUAUCGCUAUAUCACUCCAAUUUCUGCCUCUGUCGUCAUAUGGCCUUCUUUCUUGUGUGUCCUCUCUGUGUCUCUAUAUGGCCUUUUUUUUUUAAAUUAUUCCUCUUCUCCCCAAAGCCCCCAAUACGUAGUCAUAUAUUCUAGUUGUGAGUGCCUCUGGCUGUGCUCUGUAGGACACCGCCUCAGUAUGGCCUGACGAGUGCUGCCAUGUCCAUGCCCAGGAUCCAAACCGGCAAAACCCAGGGCUGCCAAAGCAGAGCAUGCGAACUUAACCACUCAGCCACGGGGCCAGCCCAUCUAUAUGGCCUUCUUAUAAGAACACCAGUCAUUGGAUUUAGGGCCCACUCUAACCUGGUAUGACUUCAUCUUAGCUUAACUAAUUACAGCUUUGAAGACUGUAUUUCCAAAUGAAGCCGCAUUCUGACGUUCUGGGUGAGCAUAAAUUUGGGUGGGGACACUAUUCAACCCCAACAGUGCUCAUGGGUCCCUUUCAUUUUGGAACUCCCCUCCUUCAUUUCCAGAUGUUUUUCUUAAUUAAUUGAUGUUUUCCUUCCCUCUCUAUUCUAUAGUUUUGUUCUCUGAAAUUUCCAUUAUUUGUACCUGGACCUCCCAGAAUCAUCCUCUAAGUUUCUCAUCUUUUCUCUGUUGUCUGUUUCUUUUCUUUUCUUUUUUGUUAUGCUCUUCUAUGGAACUUUUAAUCUGAACUUUUGUUUCCAUUUCAUUUCAGCAUUUAAUUUCCAAAUCUUUUCUCUUUCUCAGAUUUUCCCUUUUUCAUAACCCCUGUCAUAUCACAGAUGCAAUAUCUUCUAAUAUCUCAAGGGAUAUUAAUUACUGGUUGUUGUUUCUGCAUUGUUAUGGUUUUUAAGCUUUCUUUGGUUCUUGUCUUCCAGGAAGAUGAACAUGUCUCUCUCUUUCAAGUUGAAGGCUUUCCUCACAUUCGUGAUGAUUCUUUGCUGUCCUUACUGAAAAAUGAGAUACUAAAAAAGCAAAUUGGAAUCUCUACAUGUAUGAAUGGAGUUGCUUAAUGGAAGAGUUGCACUGCAGGGUGAUGACAUAACAAGCCACAUCUCACAUCUGAUUUCUCCAGAAAAUAAAUAUCCCGUCUCUUGUCAAGGGUGGAUAGGGAAGGGGAGUCUAUCAGCUGAGCAGGGUGGAAGAGGGAAUCUGGGCCCUAAUAGCACUAUAUUUUUUUUCCAACCAAUUUCUCUGUUUCUUCGCCCCUAUUCAUCAUCUCUGCCCUUGUUAACAGCUUGUUGGAUAAAUACAGAGUUAAAAAGAAGUUACUAUUUUUUAGGGCUUAGUGUGUACCAGCCACUUUAGCUGAUUUAAGAAAGUUCCAUUUGAGGCUGCCAUCAACCAAGUCUUCUCAUCAAACAGUGCUUUUUGAAUGAUGAUAAGAACGACUCAAAACAUCCUACCUUAUAUGAUGCGAAACGGAAGAGAUGGCAUUUGCUAAUAGUCCAUCAAAGCUGCACUGGAGAAUUCUAGAACAGGAAUGGGGUGAGGAUGCAGUGGUAAAUGGAAUUGAGAAAUCCUUAAAUGGCUAGGGAUACAAUACCAGUUCAGAAAUAAUAUUGGUAUUAGACUAUAGAGAGCUAAGGACAAUGGCAGGUGAUAUGUGGGAAGGAUGGAGAUUACCAUGCGCAGGACUCUAGUGGUUAAGAACAAGGAUCUGAGUUUGAGUUCUAGCUUUCAUGUCUCCUCACCAACUCUGGCUUCAAUUUCUGUCUUUGGCUGAAUUCUCCAUUAUUGCUCUGAAUCUCUCCCUUGCUUGUGCUUUUCUGGAGUCAGGCCAUGGUGAAUACCACCCCAGUGCCUUCACUCCACAGAGUACCCCAGACAGAAGAUAAUAUAUGAGCUUCUCUACAGAUGGUUUAGAAAAGAGUGAUGGGGCAGUGGUGGAGAGAUGGGUACUCACAGCACUUUCAGAGAGAUUGACUAAAGAUUGGCUUUUGGCCAUCGUGGUUUUUUUAAAAUCUCUCUCUGCAACUGCCACUGGCUCUUAGCUUAUCUCUAGCUAAUUUGCUGGCUAGCUCUCUUUUCUCCAGAGCCCCCUCUGCCUCUUUCCAUGCUUGCUCCUGGGAGCUCUCAGAUUCUUAUUUUAUUAUAAGCAAAAUUUAGUUUUCUUUGUUUCAAUUUUCUACCUUAAGGAACUGUACAGAGACCAUCAUUUUGUUGAUAAAUGGCCUAUUAAUGUAUUUUGCUAAGCAAAAGGUUAUCUGAUCCAGAAAGGAAUGUUGCCACCCCUUACAGAGACAGAUGUGGCUACACAUUUUAUCAGUAAAGAAUAGUUCUGUUUUUCUCCCACCUUCAUAUUGUACGGUCGCAUUUUUAUGAAUAAAUAUGUGUGUAUGCACAUACA
ensembl:lncRNA